CCAAGGAGUCUAACAUGUGCGCGAGUCGUCAGGUCGUCCACAGCCGACGAAACCUGAAAGGCGCAAUGAAAGUGAAGGCCGACCGUUUCCCCUCUCUUUGCGGAGAGGGGAGCGGCGGCCAAGGCGGGAUCCGAAAAAUAAAAUUUCAUUUCAGCCGGGGUGACCGUAUCACGACCCGGCGUCUUUUUUCGUUUCUUCCCUUCCUUCGGGGGGUGGAAGAGCGGGGGCGUCGGGUGAGCAAACACGCUCGCACCCCGGUCGGCGCACCGCCGGCCCGUCUCAAUGCCGCAUCGUCGGUGAGGCGGAGCCAGAGCGUACACGUUGGGACCCGAAAGAUGGUGAACUAUGCUCGGGCAGGACGAAGCCAGAGGAAACUCUGGUGGAGGUCCGUAGCGAUUCUGACGUGCAAAUCGAUCGUCGGACCUGAGUAUAGGGGCGAAAGACUAAUCGAACCGUC
rnacentral:rRNA from 1 species